GGUCAGGACGAACGCUGGCGGUGUGCCUCAUACAUGCAAGUCGAACGAUAAGGUCUCUUCGGAGAUACAUAAGUGGCGGACGGGUGAGUACAACAUAGGAAAUCUGCCCUAAACUGAGGGACAACAGAGGGAAACUUCUGCUAAUACCUCAUAUGAGCUUAGUUGAAAUACUAAUCUUGAAAGCUCCGGCGGUUUAGGAUGAGCCUGUGCCUGAUUAGCUAGUUGGUGGUGUAAUGGACUACCAAGGCGACGAUCAGUAGCUGGUUUGAGAGGAUGAUCAGCCACAAUGGGACUGAGACACGGCCCAUACUCCUACGGGAGGCAGCAGUAGGGAAUUUUGCGCAAUGGGGGGAAAAACCCCCUGGCGCAGCAACACCGCGUGAAUGUUAAGCCCUUCGGGGUGUAAAGUUCUGUCAGUAGGGAAGAACAAAUGACUGUACCUACAAAGGAAGCACCGGCUAACUCCGUGCCAGCCGCCGC
rnacentral:rRNA from 1 species